AGGUUGAGGCCGCCAUGAGGUUCCAGUCGCUAGUCCUCACUUCGUGUCGUGUGUGGAAGAUGCUAUGCCAAAGUGACCAGGAGCACGGAGGCGGAGUAGCUGAGGAGAUGAGGUUGAAUGCAUCACACACUAUCCAGGGGCGCUAAGUGUCAGUUAUUAAUCCUUUUCCUUUGACUUGUUAUGUUAGUAUGAGAGGGAGACUGCUUGUUGGCUUGCAUUGGUAGGAGAUCACAAAUGUUUUUCUUGGGAGAUAUGCUUUCUUAUUUUUCUUUUAAAACCUUGGACAAAUAUAUGACGUAACGUUGUUUCCUUUCA